rnacentral:lncRNA from 1 species
CAGCUUUGGUCCCCACUGUCAACUCCUUCUCAGAGAGACCCCGAGAUACCCCCCUGUGCUGCUCCCAGUCCCGGAGAUUUCCUACAGCUCUGCUCAGCACGGGCCGCUGCAGAGCUGUAGAAACCCAGUUGCACAGGGCUUUAUGCCUGGCAAGGGCACCCCUUGCUGUGUGCAUCCCAGAGGAGGCACGUCUGAAGUCUGCAGAGGAAGCUUCUAUCUUCCCUUCCAACGAAUUCCUGCUCAGGCCAGCAAGGAAGAGAGUUUGAGUUGUUUAUGGGACUCGUUUAUGGAACGCACACGCUGUGCCAGGCAUUGUGCACAGAGAGACCCAGUUCCUGCCCUCUUGGAGUUUAUAUGACAUGAGCUGAAGACAGACAAGAAGCAAGUGUAAGAGCUACCAGAGGGAGGAAAGUGGAAGCUACCAGACGGAGGAAGCAUAAACCAGGUCCUGAUCCCUGAUUAAUUGAGAAUCAGCCAGCUUGGGAAGGGGAUGGCUGCGCAAGCCCACAGAACGCAGACUCCCAGAGGAGGCAGGGGUAGGAAAGCUCUUGGCCGUGGCCUGAUUGUCUGGGAGACGGGAGUCAAGAUGGCUUGGUUUCAACAAACUGGCUUUGAUUACUUGGCGUUUGGCUCUGUGCUCUCUGGCCAGGUCAGCCUGACCCACGGUUGUCACCCCAGAGGACUGUGAAAUAACAAGUGCAGUUAACUGGCCACUGCUGAUCUGCGCCUAGAAGACAACGUCUCAGUUGUUAAGGCUUUUGUUGGCCUGCUCAGGAAGCGAUUCUUUUUGCCUGCAAAUUAUUGUAGGUUCCUGAGGGAACCGUGCCAGUCCUUGCCCUUUAGCUGCUCUGCUCUGUGCUGGGCUUGUGGGGUGAGAGAGGAGACAGAAUAGGGAGAAGGAGGAGAGGGGAGGCUGUACCUUGUAGGUGGAUAUUUUAAGGCUCUAAUGUUAGCUGUGGUUGGAAUUGACCAAGGGAGGCACUAGCAAGAGGUUGGAGGGCCGGAAGAGGAAAGAAACCAGAGUUUCUCUCCAACUCCUCUCUCUCUUUCUCUGCCUCAGAUGGUCAAAAUUUUAAGGAGACAGAAUCCAACAGGGCUGGGAUUAGGAUGAAGUGAGUGAGGCUGAGCUGUGCAAAUACGAGGUCAGAUCCUGACCUUGUUCAUCAUGGAAUUUUUGCAUUAAUGUUGAUAUUUUUUAAAUAUUGUGUUGAAAUAUUUAUCUUGAUUACUGAGCUUUUUGACAUUUCCUUAGACUUUAUCCCAAAGCAAGAGCCUUGCUUGUUUCACCCUGGUCCUGGCCUUGCCUUCCAGUGUGUCGGACACAUUUACGCACAGAGAAAAAUAGGCAAUCCAAAUGGUCCAACUCUAUUGGAUAUUCUCUAUGCUGCUUUCAUUCACUCAAUAAUGUGUAGCUGAGCACUUUUCUGUGUCAAUGAAUAUAGUUCCACAUUAUCCUGGGCUUGAAGGAUGUGUUAUCAAAUAUUUUACUAACCCCCCACUGAUGCAUCUAGCAGGAUCUGUCCAUGCCCUGCCCAUAUCUCUAACAUUUCUAUGUGCUCCAGCCAAACUCCACUGCCAGCUCUGCAUUUCUGAGUGGAAAGUCUCGUUUCAGAUCUGCAGAAUGCCAUGCUGCCUAUCAUUUCAGCAGGGGAAACUGCCAUAGAAUUAACAUCUGCCAGGAAUAGCUCUUGACCAAUGACUAAGGGGGGACUGGUGUGUAAAUACCCCAGCUCCCUUGCCCAUUGGGUGGGACAACUCAGGUGUGUGCUGUACACUAUAUCCCAGAGCUCUCUCCAUGGGUACAAGCUCCAGUUGCCCACAGUAGUGCUUGGCUUAAUUACCUGCCUUGAUUGGCUGCCUGUCCUUCUCCAUAUCACUUUUCCUUUCCCUCCUGGGGCUGUCUACAACCCCAACCCAGUAACAACUGCACUUGAAUCUUUGUCUCAGGAUCUGCUUCCGUUAAGAUGGACAUUCCGAUUAUUUUGAAUUUUUCAGUGUUAACAUGUUCACCACCCAUAUGGAUUUUGGCAUAUUAAUAGCUGCCACCCCCUCCUUUGGGGAUGUGGUCCAUACAAAGCAAGGGUAACAGAAGAAGGUAAAGUAGAGAAAAGAGACAGAAACUCUGAAAUGCUACCAUGCAUCUCAGAGUUAUGUCCUAUAAAAUGAGCCUUUUCAGUAUGUGCUGUGGCAUCAAAAGUGUUGAGAAGCAUUGUUCUCACUGGUCAGGCUGUGCCUUCACCUCUGUAGCUCCAAUGAGUGACACAUAGUAGAUAAUGGAUAAAUAUGUGUUGCAUGAAUAAAGGGAGGAGUAAUUGGUUCAUGCUCUGAGCCUCUGCCAAGCUGAGUAUAUGAGACCUUUUGAUUUACCUGAGCAAUUGAGCAUCUGUGCCUCAGGACUCUCUAGUUCUACCAUCAAGACAGAGAAUGGUGUGAUACUCAGGUUAACAAGGUGAGUCCAGGAGUGUUGCCCUGGAGGCAUAAAACAGGGGCCCAGCCUUUGGAGAUAAAGCAUGCUCUGGUCCUAAAUGGCAGCAGGAGAAGAAUCUUCCCAAAGUGAGAGUCAGGCCACAAUACCUCCCCUGGGAGGACGUCUGUGCCUGUGUAUGUUGGAGAGAGAAGGAGCUUUUUCAUCCCAAGUGAGUAGAGAGGUUACAUCCUCUGACUGCUUCCCCCUCUCUCUGUCUUUCUCUCUCUCCUGCUGUGAAGGCCAAGUAUGACUUCACAGAAUCCCUAAGCUCCAUAAAUCAGUUCUAGAUCCAUCCCUUGCAGCUGUAAUGAAAGCAGGAUUUUAAUAAAAACUGGAUACUUCUACUGUUUCAAUUGCUAUCAGUUGACUCUAGAAGCAUUUUUCUAAGAUGAGGAAGGAAAUCUAGUUAUUCCAAGAGCCGACAAGGGAAGGCUGUAACUUUUCCGGAAAUGUCCUCAUAGAAGCCCUGGCUUUUGAGUACAUAACACUCUCUCCCCCACCACCACCCAGCUGCCAACCCAGAUCAAGGUUGACUUUGUUCACAUAGUCUUUGUAAAUGGCUUGUCCCAGACAGUGACCCAUCUGAUCAUGUCUGAGCUACCCCACCUCUUUUCCCCUGUCUCCUCCCCACACUGAAGAUUCCUGCUCUGUCCUGUAAUUCCCUUGGAGAACAGAUGCUCCCAUUCCAGAACCACCGAUACUGCUGGGAGUUUGUAUUUCAAGGGACAGCAGCCCCUUUGGGAGGAGCCGAAAUGGUGGUCAGCCUUCCACUGUCACUUUGAAAGGUAUAACAUUUUAUUCCCUGAGUUUGUAUGCCUCCAUUUUGACUCAUCUUCUCUUCAUUUCUGUCAGCAUAUUUAUCUGUACUUCUGUCCACAGUUAAAUCUUUGCCCAUAAGGAGUUCACCUUGGAAAUGACAGCGUGACCUGACUUCACACUAAACAUCCUAGACCAUGCACACAGACGGUCCUUUUACCUGGGACUGAUAAGGAAAGCCAAGCUUAGGAUUUGUGUCAUAUGAAGGCUUAUUCUCAGCAGCCUGGCUCCUUGAUCUCGCCCAAAGGCAACUUUUUAGCUUCCCAUAAAUCAUUCAUUUAUCUGCAUUACAUCAUCUUUGCAGGACAACUGCAUAGAAGUAACCUCCCAACCCAGCUGACCAAUCUGCGCAGGUAGCAAGCGCUCCCUGCAUAACUUCUUAGUGGCCUCCCUUCAGGAUUGGUUCCCUACCCACUUGUAUUAGUCAGCUAUUACCAAAAUAAUGCUAUGUAACAAUCAUCCUCAACAUUUGGUGGCUUAAAAUAACUAUCGAUUCUCUCCACUGACUGUACGGUUCAGCUAGCUCCAGGCUGAGGAUCGACCUCAAUCUGCUUCACUUGCUAACCAGAGUAUACUCUUUUCAUGGCGAAUAGUGGGGAUGCCAGAGACCAAGUUGAAUUGCACACUUCAAGCCUCUGCUUAUGUUGUAGUUGCUUCUGUUCAUUGACUCAAGCAAGUCACAAGGACAAGCCUCAAGUUGGUGGGGCAGAGGAAGUAUCCUCUUCCCUAAAUGGGCAGGGAGAAGAGUGAACGUUUGCUGAACAAUAAGAUUAUCAAUCACACUACCCCUCUAGCCUCAUCUUGAGCCCUCUACCCCUUAAUUCCUGUUUAGCCAGUCAAAAUGUACUGGGCAGUCUCUAGCCUCAGGACCUUUGCAUAUGCUGUUCUCUCUGCCUGGAAGUCUCUUUCUCUUCCUAGUCCUCAAUUACUCCUUCUGAUUCUUCAGAUUUAUGUCUCCUUACUUCCGCAGAGAAUUCUGCCCUAAUCCCAAGACCAGGUUGAGCCUACACUCUGUACCAGGCACUGCCCUUAGUCACUGCCCAGCUUCCAGGAAGCCGCUCCAUUCAUAGCACUCUGAGAAAGCUUCCCAUUUUCAUGCUUUUGCUCCCUCUAUCUGUGAUCUCCUGUCUUGUUGUUGUUGUUGUUGUUGUUGCUGUUGCUGUUGAGACAGUAUCUUGUUCUGUUGCCCAGGCUGGAGUGCAGUGGCACAGUCAUGGCUUACCAUAGCCUCAACUUCCUGGGCUUAUGAUCCUCCCACCUCAGCCUCCUGGGUAUCUGUGACUACAGGUGCAUAUCAUCAUUCCUGGCUCAUUUUUGCAUUUUUUAUAGAGACGGUGUCUCACCACAUUGUCCAGGCUGCUCUUGAAUUUCUGGGCUCAAGCAAUUCACCCACCUCAGCCUCCCAAAGUGCUGGGAUUACAGGCAUGAGCCACCGCGCCCGGCCCAUCUGUCUUACCUUUAUCCAUUUGGCUCCUUUGUAUAAUUCAUAGCUCAGCCUAAACAUGACUUUCCCUGAGCACCUAAAGUAACACAUUACACUCUGCAUAACACUUAAACAAUUGACUUUUUUUGUCUUAGUCAUUGGAUAGUUCCACCAGCAGGUAUACCCCAGUAAAGAAAGUUCUUGUCUAAUUUGCCCAACCCUGUAUCACCAGAGCCUGGCACACUGCUUGGCCCAUGGUAGGAACUCAAAUCUUUUAAAAGCGAAUUGCAAAUUUGGUAGUAGUGCUUCAGCAGCCCUUGUGUCUGUGAGGCUGACCUCUGCAAUGUCUGGGGUCAGAUCCGUCCGUUUGCGGUCACACCUCUUUUCGUAAGACAGGCCCAAGUGGUUAGUUACCUGGCUCACCAUGAAUAUGUGUUAAGCCUCUGAAAGGCGCUCUCAAGGUUGAGUUCCCACUGGCGCAGAUGUCUGUGCAAGUGGUUAGGUGACCCAGUAAGAGAGGGGAAGUGAGACAAGGAAGGGAGAAAAAGCCCUACAGGGUGUGUCUGUGGGGAACUGGGGUCCGCAGCAUGGGGAGUAAAACACACCUUAGCUAUCCCCAUGGAGGGGCACUGGACCUGGGGUGUGUGUCCACCAGGCAUGGCUGAGGGCAGCUGGGGACUGGAGGGGUAACACCCUGGAACUUCUGGCCUGGCUUGUACCAGGGGCUGGGCUGGCUGGGGCAGCCAGAGAGGACCCUCAGGCAAAGCCAGCAGUUGUUGGAAACCGUUAGGGUGGGAUCAGCCUGCCCAGGAGUGAGGGGCAGCUGCCACAGGCAGAGCCUGUUGGGAUCUGUGACAGAGACCGGUGGAAUGAAUGAGCUGACAUCAGGGAGAGGACAGUGGGGUGAGGAGCAGGGCGGUCAGGCGUGGGGAGAGACAGGGGCCAUGCCGAGGCCAGCUUUUACAGCCGCGCCUGGAGCAGCUCAGGGGUCUUAGGAGGGAGAGGUCCUUCCGACUGACGAUGACUCAUCCCAGGGGUGGGCCUAGGAGGAUCCCGAGCCCAGAGUCCAGGCUCAAAGCCAUCGGCAGUUACUUGGCAAUUUAUUCCCGGUUUCUCAGAGGUAACAGCCAACGCAGGAACAGUGUGUUGCUCCCUUUAAAAAGGCUUAGAACAUUCCGGAAAGAGACCUAAAUUUAAUAGCAGGAGAGAGGGAGGAGGGGAAGUGGUUGCAGAGCCUGGAGGGAAGCCAGGAAUCCUGCCUCCUCCUCCCCAGCCGCAGAGGACAUGCGGACAUGUGUGGGCAGGUCCCUUCUGACCCAUGGCAGGUCCCUGUUGAUGGUCAGGCUGGGGAUCGUGCAGGCCUUUUUGUUAUCCCGGGGUCUCCUUCUGAGCUAUGCUAACACUGUGCAGUGCCUAUAACCAAGAAGAAAAAGGAAAGAAACAGAGGAAACUCAAAGCAGCCAGCCUCUCUGACUUGUGAGCAGCUUGGGUAAAGGACCGGUGGCUGAGCCAAUUUUUAAUCACAGCUCACCUGCCUAGUACCGCCCGUGAGACCAGUGACCACCGAAGCCGGGCGAGGGCCCACGCCUCCCCUCGCCGUGGUUUCUGUGGUUAACUCCGCUGCACUGAACACCUCCCCUCCUCCCCUCUUCACUUCUGCGUGUGCGCCGCGUCCAGACCGACGGCCCUAAGGCUGCUUUAACCCAAGCACUGCCGGUCCGUGGAGGUCCCCAUGGACACCCUCACUGCACAGGGGUUAGGACCUUGCCUCUGGGGCCAGAUGGUCUGCGUUCAGAACCUGGCUGUGCCAACCACUGGGUCCCAGUUUCUCCGAGCCCCGCUCAGUGAGAGUGUCUUCCCAUAACGGGGGUGAGCCUCACGUCACCCCGUUCAUCUGGGGCCCAGGGAAAGCACGGUGGUCUGUUUCAGCACUGGAGGAAACAAUGUCUGUGUUGACCUCAUGGAGAGAUGGCUGUCCUCUCCAGGGAGGUCCCUUCCCAGAGAAUUUUGAAAGGCAGUUUGACUGUUAGCAAUUUUUGGUUUAGACACAACUUUAGAAUCUUUUCUCCUGUGUUUCAAGUGACUUCCAUCGGUGUGGUUUCUCCAGGGGUGAUCCCAGGGACACCAGCUUGAGAAUCACCUGGGGAAGGGGUAGGGUGGGGGGAGGAGGGGGCUUAUCAAAUGCAGUUCCUUGGGACCAGCCCGUUCUUUGCUUCUCUCAGAACCCCUGUGAGUAGAUGGAUAAUCAACCUCCUUUUACCAUAGAUGAAACUGAGGCUCGGAGAAGUUAGGGGACAUGCCCGAGAUGAUUUAAUUAAAUAAUGACAGGCAUAUCUUCAACUGCUGCAGCCCCUGCCCUGGUCACAGGCUCCCUGUGGACCCCACCUGCUAAACAUAAACAAACCCAUAGUGCAGCAGCCACAACUCAAGCUGGGAGGCCUUUGUGGAGGUUGAUUUUUAUCUCCCCGCAGUCAGGCACAAGUGAGAAUUUCAUAAAUAGUUCUAACAAAGCUGCCUUUCACAGCCAGCUCUUUG